rnacentral:rRNA from 1 species
CGCAAGCCUGAUGGAGCAACACCGCGUGAGUGAAGAAGGGUUUCGGCUCGUAAAGCUCUGUUGUUAAAGAAGAACACGUAUGAGAGUAACUGUUCAUACGUUGACGGUAUUUAACCAGAAAGUCACGGCUAACUACGUGCCAGCAGCCGCGGUAAUACGUAGGUGGCAAGCGUUAUCCGGAUUUAUUGGGCGUAAAGAGAGUGCAGGCGGUUUUCUAAGUCUGGUGUGAAAGCCUUCGGCUUAACCGGAGAAGUGCAUCGGAAACUGGAUAACUUGAGUGCAGAAGAGGGUAGUGGAACUCCAUGUGUAGCGGUGGAAUGCGUAGAUAUAUGGAAGAACACCAGUGGCGAAGGCGGCUACCUGGUCUGCAACUGACGCUGAGACUCGAAAGCAUUCCGGGUACGCGAACAGGACUUACGAGUACCCUGGUA